AUACGUCGGAUGCAAGCGUUGUCCGGAAUUACUGGGCGUAAAGGGUCCGUAGGCGGUUUGUUAAGUCUCCUGUGAAAGUUCAGGGCUCAACCCUGAAAUGUCGGGGGAUACUGGCAAACUCGAGACUGUCAGAGGCAAGUGGAAUUCCCGGUGUAGUGGUGAAAUGCGUAGAUAUCGGGAGGAACACCAGUGGCGAAAGCGGCUUGCUGGGACAGUUCUGACGCUGAGGGACGAAAGCGUGGGUAGCAAACCGGAUUAGAAACCCCAGUAGUCC
rnacentral:rRNA from 1 species